UCAGGAGCAGAAUUGAAGAUUUAUUCCACAUACUCAGCUUUUAAGCAUUUCUCCCAUGCAAGGGAGAUACCCACAGUAAUUAGUACAGUAACCAAUCAUUUACACGUUACCUCCCACACAUCUCCUCCCCUCAGCAUGACACAUAAUCCCAUUAUACAGGACACAUUUCUCCCCGCUUUCUGGAUGUACCCCUAAUACCAGAGAUACACCCCAUAAUCUUAUAUCCCCUGGUAUCCGUGCUAUGGGUGAGCAACAUACUCAAAAAUCACCCAGAUCGUACCAGGGGUUUGGGAGUUACACGGAUGUAUUUAUUUGACCGACCGUACAGGAGGUAGUAGCCGAAAUCAGCUCCAUACAUUCUGGCCUUGCGGCCGGUCUCAGAGGGAUAAAACACACGAACGUACCGGGUUACAUAGACUGGGGUUGGAUUCAUAUGGAUCCCCUUGUUCGUGGGAAGUCUCGGCGGUGUUCGCGUAGUUGAGUGUCCGAUUUGGGUUUCAGACACACAAAGACCAAACACCGCUGAGCAUUCGUAUGUUAAGAUGGCCGCUGCCACGUGUUCGUAUGCUGAAUGGCGGCCACCCAGGGAACACAUAAUACAUUUAGUUGAAUUACCACUUAUGUGGUUGGAACUUAGAUGCGGGAGGUAAAUGAGAGGCACAAUUCACUCUGGGGAGGUCUGUUUGUUCGUAUGUUGAACAGAGUGUUUUAACCGAACAACCAGACGAAUGCUGCAUACAAUACGCGAUUACAAAAGAAAUAAAGCUAAAAUUAACAUUAUAAAUUCCUUGACCUUCCCGGCUCUGUACCAGGACUGGAUGAAUGGGAGGAGAGUCUGCAGUCACAGAUUGUGUGGCCUCGCAGCUCCCAUUAUUGUGGUAAACACAACAAUAACACAAAUAAAUUCACACUUCCUCAGACUGAUAUCACAGAAACAAUAUGUUUUACUUCAAUCUCUCCAUCAGUCCAUCAUUAGUUUCACAUUAGAAAUAGCACUGAAUGUCAGAAGAAUUAGGAUUUUCAAUGGACGAGGAUACAAGGAGCUCAGGUGAGCCUGGAAAGGAAUAUUUAAUGGGAAUCUUCAAUUCUAUAAAUCUAGUUUUGUCCUAUAAAAACAGUUUAAUUGGAAACACACCCAAACACCCUUUAAAAGGAUUCUGCCACAAAUAGUGUACAGUCACUAUAUAUACAGAUUAUAAACAGUCACUAUAUAUAUAUAUAUAUACAGAUAAUAAACAGUCACUAUAUAUACAGAUUAUAAACAGUCACUAUAUACAGAUUACAAACGCUCAGUCACUGUAUACAGGUUAUAAACACUCAGUCACUAUAUACAGAUUACAAACGCUCAGUCACUGUAUACAGGUUAUAAACACUCAGUCACUAUAUACAGAUUACAAACGCUCAGUCACUGUAUACAGAUUCUAAACAGUCACUAUAUAUACAGAUUAUAAACAGUCACUAUAUACAGGUUAUAAAUGCUCAGUCACUAUAUACAGAUUAUAAACAGUCACUGUAUACAGAUUAUAAAGUC